rnacentral:rRNA from 1 species
AAAGGGCGGGAGCAAUCUGCUCACUUGAGAGAAGGGCCCUGGGGGCGCAAUAAUCUAGUUGGGUGGGGGUAACGGCCCCCCCAAAGGGGACGAUGCGUAGCCGACCUAGAGGAGGGGUGAACGCCCCCACUGGGGAUUGAGACACGGCCCAGAUUCUUAGGGGAGGCACCAGUAGGGAAUCUUCCCGCAAUGGGGGAAAUCCUGACGGAGCAACGCCGCGUGAGUGAUGAAGGUUUUCGGUUUCGUAAAGUUCUGUUGCCAAGGAAGAACGUCUUCUAGAGUAAUUGCUAGGAGAGUGACGGUACUUGAGAAGAAAGCCCCGGCUAAUUACGUGCCAGCAGCCGCGGUAAUACGUAGGGGGCAAGCGUUGUCCGGAAUUAUUGGGCGUAAAGCGCGCGCAGGCGGUUCUUUAAUUUUGGUGUUUAAACCCGAGGCUCAACUUCGGGUCGCACUGGAAACUGGGGGACUUGAGUGCAGAAGAGGAGAGUGGAAUUCCACGUGUAGCGGUGAAAUGCGUAGAUAUGUGGAGGAACACCAGUGGCGAAGGCGACUUCUYUGGGCUGUAACUGACGCUGAGGCGCGAAAGCGUGGGGAGCAAACMGUSAUUAGAUACCCUGGUAGUCCACGCCGUAAACGAUGARUGYUAGGUGUUAGGGGUUUCGAUACCCUUGGUGCCGCAASUUAACACAAUWAAGCAUUCCGCCUGGGGAGUACGGUCGCAAGACUGAAACUCAAAGGAAUUGACGGGGACCCGCACAAGCAGUGGAGUAUGUGGUUUAAUUCGAAGCAACGCGAAGAACCUUACCAAGUCUUGACAUCCCUCUGAAUCCUCAAAAAAUAGAGGCGGCCUUCGGGACAGAGGUGACAGGUGGUGCAUGGUUGUCGUCUGCUCGUGUCGUGAGAUGUUGGGUUAAGUCCCGCAACGAGCGCAACCCUUGAUAUUAUUUGCCACCACUUUUAGGGGGGGGCACUCUAAAAAUGACUGCCGGUGACAAAACCGGAGGAAAGGGGGGGAUGAACUUCAAAUCAUCCUUGCCCCCCUUAUGACUUGGGCUUACACCCGUGUUACAAGGGGUGGGUACAAACGGGAAACCAAAACCCGCGAGGGGGAAACCCAAUCCCUAUAAAAAACCCUAUCCCCAGUUUGGAUUUGGCGGGGUGUGCAACUCCCCCCUAUGCACAAAGGUGGGAAAUUUGCUAUUAAUACCCGGGAACUUACCUUGGCCCGCCGGAGAAAAUUAUUU